rnacentral:tRNA from 1 species
GCCCGGUUAGCUCAGUCGGUAGAGCAUCAGACUUUUAGAGAUGAUUUCAUCAGAGACAUCUGAGGGUCAAGGGUUCCAGUCCCUUAUUGGGCG